rnacentral:rRNA from 1 species
GGGGGAUUAUUGCACAAUGGGGGAAACCCUGAUGCAGCGACGCCGCGUGAACGAAGAAGGUAUUUGUAUCGUAAAGUUCUGUCCUAUGGGAAGAUAAUGACAGUACCAUAGAAGAAAGCUCCGGCCAAAUACGUGCCAGCAGCCGCGGUAAUACGUAUGGAGCGAGCGUUGUCCGGAAUUAUUGGGCGUAAAGGGUACGCAGGCGGUUUAAUAAGUCGAAUGUUAAAGAUCGGGGCUCAACCCCGUAAAGCAUUGGAAACUGAUAGGCUUGAGUAGUGGAGAGGAAAGUGAAAUUCCUAGUGGAGUGGUGAAGUACGUAGAUAUUAGGAGGAAUACCAGUAGAGAAGGCGACGUUCUGGACACAAACUGACGCUGAUGUACGAAAGCGUGGGGAGCAAACAGG